rnacentral:rRNA from 1 species
AUUGAACGCUGGCGGCAGGCUUAACACAUGCAAGUCGAGCGGAGUGAUGGUGCUUGCACUAUCACUUAGCGGCGGACGGGUGAGUAAUGCUUAGGAAUCUGCCAUUUAGUGGGGGACAACAUUCCGAAAGGAAUGCUAAUACCGCAUACGUCCUACGGGAGAAAGCAGGGGAUCUUCGGACCUUGCGCUAAAUGAUGAGCCUAAGUCGGAUUAGCUAGUUGGUGGGGUAAAGGCCUACCAAGGCGACGAUCUGUAGCGGGUCUGAGAGGAUGAGCCGCCACACUGGGACUGCGACACGGCCCAGACUCCUACGGGAGGCAGCAGUGGGGAAUAUUGGACAAUGGGCGGAAGCCUGAUCCAGCCAUGCCGCGUGUGUGAAGAAGGCCUUUUGGUUGUAAAGCACUUUAAGCGAGGAGGAGGCUACUAGUACUAAUACUACUGGAUAGUGGACGUUACUCGCAGAAUAAGCACCGGCUAACUCUGUGCCAGCCGCCGCGGUAAGAC